CAAAUCGUGUGAGCAGUGUGGAUGCCGACAACAGUGCUCGCGACCCUGCAGGUGUCCCUGCUGCCGUUCUCCACAGAUGGUUUCAUGCUGGCCCAUUCACCAGGGCCACGUCCUUCCUCACAUACCUGAGACUGAUGCUUUCUCAAAUGAUGCUGCAAGGACCCUGGCCCACAUCCAUCUCCCAACUAAGGCCCAGACAUCCAGACUCAUCACCACAGUCAAGCAGGAGCCCUGGAAUCAGGUGAGGCUCUAUGAUGGAGAAGGAGUCAACUGAACCUGCAUGGCCCCACAAGGAGCCAGAGGGAAUGUGCCUAGAGCAAGGAGAUACAACCUUAUGUCUGCUGCAAACAACCCUUCCUGACAGCACAGCUGGGACCCACAUGCAAAAUCCCUUUCUACCCCUCUGACAUGGCACCAAAGGGGCCACAGAGCCCUGGCAGCCUGGUCUAAGUGCCCAGGCCUUGGGUCCAGCUAUUGUGGGGAGCUCAGGGCAAGGUCCCUACCCCCAUCUCCGUGUGCCCAGAGCUAGUGUACCAGGCACAGAGUGGCAUUCAAUAUAGACUUGCUGAACUGAGCAGAGCCGGCCUCCUGGGAACUGCUGCCAGCAUUCCCUAUCUCCUGUUGUGGUCCCUGUGUAGUGGCACUGAGGACAAUGGAAAG
rnacentral:lncRNA from 1 species